rnacentral:rRNA from 1 species
GAUGAACGCUGGCGGCGUGCCUAAUACAUGCAAGUCGAGCGAACAGACGCGGAGCUUGCUCCUCUGACGUUAGCGGCGGACGGGUGUGUAACACGUGGAUAACCUCCCUAUAAGACUGGGAUAACUUCGGGAAACCGGCGCUAAUACCGUAUAAUAUCUUGAACCGCAUGGUUCAAUAGUGAAAGACGGUUUUGCUGUCACUUAUAGAUGGAUCCGCGCCGCAUUAGCUAGUUGGUAAGGUAACGGCUUACCAAGGCGACGAUGCGUAGCCGACCUGAGAGGGUGAUCGGCCACACUGGAACUGAGCCACGGUCAAGACUCCUACGGGAGGCAGCAGUAGGGAAUCUUCCGCAAUGGGCGAAAGCCUGACGGAGCAACGCCGAGUGAGUGAUGAAGGUCUUCGGAUCGUAAAACUCUGUUAUUAGGGAAGAACAAAUGUGGAAGGAACUAUGCACGUCUUGACGGUACCGAAUCAGAAAGCCACGGCUAACUACGUG